UCUCCUCUCCUUCGGGAGAACAGAAGGACGCCUGCGGCCUACGUAUUGAUCUCAAGCACAUCCUCUAAUAAACAUUUUGCAUGCUAAACUAUCUCCGAUAUUGCUCCUAGGAGACAUGUCAUGAUCCAAAUCAUGUAGCCACAUGACCAACCUGAGAACAAUGUUCAAUGUUAUCAUAAGAAAGAAGACAGGAGAGGUAAAGCAGAAAGCUAGGACACUGUUGCAAUUGAGAGAUACUGAGUAAAUGAUCUUGGAAAGAAAGAAGAAGCAAGUGUGGAAGACACAGCAGCAGAAGAAACAAGAGAUCUUACCAACUGAUUGAAUGUAUGACAAAAGUUGGGCUUCCCCAGUGGCUCAGCAGUAAAGAAUCUGUAUGCAAUGCAGAAGCCACAGGAGAAGCAGUUUGAUGAUCCCUGGGUUUGGAAGAUCCCCUGGAGGAGGGCAUAGCAACCCACUCCAAUAUUCUUCCCUUCUUCCCUGGAGAACCUCAUGAACAAAGGAGGCUAAUGGGCUACAGUCCAUAGAGUUGCAAAGUCGGACGAGACUGAAGCGACUGAGCAUGCACACAUGAUGCAAGUUGAAGAGUUAAACAGAACUUUGGCUUUUGGGCCAUGAGAAACAUAGAGUAAAUACCAUGCUACCUAUAAACAGAAACAGAGAAGUAUGAGAAAAGGUGUUUGGGAUAAAGGACUGUUGUAUUUGGUUUUGAAUAUAUUGAGUUAUACAGGUUUAAACAAAACUAGGAAUGAAAUGUGAAAAUAUUUAAAUAUUUUAAAGUAUUGUACUUAAAACAGAAAAAGAAAUUAGUCAAUUUAAACAGUAUAGGUAAUUUAAAUGGAGAAAGUUUUUACCCUGCAAUUGAGUAUUCGAUCAAAACUAUCAAAGAGUAAACAGAGUAAUUGAUUUUCCUGCUUUCUUCACUAUAAUGCAGUUGUAAUUUCAACCAAAUAUGACACUCUAUCUUCUUUUAAAUAUCUUCACAAAUACUAGAGGGAUGGCACAAUUAAUCCACAACAGUAGGUGGCACAAUUAAUCCACAACAGUAGGUAACACAAAAGAGCAGCUAUUUAAGAUACAUAUUAGGAGUUGGAUAUGAAAGUGCUGCACUCACUAUGCCAGCAAAUUUGGAAAAGUCAGCAGUGGCCACAGGACUGGAAAAGGUCA